UGGGGAAUUUUGCACAAUGGGGGAAACCCUGAUGCAGCGAUGCCGCGUGAUUUAGAAGGCCCUCGGGUUGUAAAAAUCUUUUCUAUGGGAAGAAAAUGACAGUACCAUAGGAAUAAGGACCGGCUAAUUACGUGCCAGCAGCCGCGGUAAUACGUAAGGUCCGAGCGUUGUCCGGAAUCAUUGGGCGUAAAGGGUACGUAGGCGGGUAAGCAAGUUAGAAGUGAAAUCCUAUAGCUCAACUAUAGUAAGCUUUUAAAACUGCUCAUCUUGAGGUAUGGAAAGGAAAGUGGAAUUCCUAGUGUAGCGGUGAAAUGCGCAGAUAUUAGGAGGAAUACCGGUGGCGAAGGCGACUUUCUGGCCAUAACCUGACGCUGAGGUACGAAAGCGUGGGUAGCAAACAGG
rnacentral:rRNA from 1 species